rnacentral:rRNA from 1 species
GACGAACGCGGCGGCGUGCCUAAUACAUGCAAGUAGAACGCUGAAGAGAGGAGCUUGCUCUUCUGGAUGAGUUGCGAACGGGUGAGUAACGCGUAGGUAACCUGCCUUGUAGCGGGGGAUAACUAUUGGAAACGAUAGCUAAUACCGCAUAACAAUGGAUGACCCAUGUCAUUUAUUUGAAAGGGGCAAAUGCUCCACUACAAGAUGGACCUGCGUUGUAUUAGCUAGUAGGUGAGGUAACGGCUCACCUAGGCGACGAUACAUAGCCGACCUGAGAGGGUGAUCGGCCACACUGGGACUGAGACACGGCCCAGACUCCUACGGGAGGCAGCAGUAGGGAAUCUUCGGCAAUGGGGGCAACCCUGACCGAGCAACGCCGCGUGAGUGAAGAAGGUUUUCGGAUCGUAAAGCUCUGUUGUAAGUCAAGAACGAGUGUGAGAGUGGAAAGUUCACACUGUGACGGUAGCUUACCAGAAAGGGACGGCUAACUACGUGCCAGCAGCCGCGGUAAUACGUAGGUCCCGAGCGUUGUCCGGAUUUAUUGGGCGUAAAGCGAGCGCAGGCGGUUUGAUAAGUCUGAAGUUAAAGGCUGUGGCUCAACCAUAGUUCGCUUUGGAAACUGUCAAACUUGAGUGCAGAAGGGGAGAGUGGAAUUCCAUGUGUAGCGGUGAAAUGCGUAGAUAUAUGGAGGAACACCGGUGGCGAAAGCGGCUCUCUGGUCUGUAACUGACGCUGAGGCUCGAAAGCGUGGGGAGCGAACAGG